CUUCCAGAGCUUCCACACAGAAAUUUCGUUGUUGUUUUGCUUGUUUAUUUUGUUUUCUUUUCAUUUGCAGGGGAGGUUGCAAGGGUGAAAGGCAGAUAUGGAGGGAGGGGGAAGAUGAGGAGGAUUAGGGUGCAUGAUGUGAAAUUCACACACACACAAAAAGUUAUUUUUUUUUAAAUGAAAGAAAAAGAAAAGAGUCAGAAAACACACACAUGACUUCCAUUCUGCUUCACUGGUGGAAACACUUAUGGGCACACUCAGCAUCAAGGAAAUCCGGGACUUGUAUUUGGAUCAUUGCAUGUCUAGGAAGAAUGAAUCUGGGAGGUACCCAGACAUCACUUAAAUGCAAGCAUCAUGAUAUAAUGAAGAGCAGGAACACUCACUAUACACAGGUAUUCACAAACAUCUCAUGUUUCAGGGGCCCAGUGACUCUGCCUGUCAGCUUUUGGUGUGAUUCGUGUGGAGUAAGGACCGGAGGAAAGAGAAUGAUAUAGAAGAAUUCAGGUCCAUUUUAACCUCUCAUCUUAGAUAAGAUUGCAAAUGUCUGCUUUCAGUUUUAGACACAUCCAAGUAUUUAAAAAAUCCACCCCUUGCUUUAUGUUCAGAGGUAUUUUUGUUUUGUUUAAUUGUUCUGCUACUCCAGGGCUUCAGGUUUGACCAUGUGUUCUAGUUGUUUUAUCAGCUGCCCUGGCACGUUCCUUUGUUCCUCUAGAUUUCCCCUUUCCUUCUUUGAGAAACACACUGAACACAUUGAUUCCUGGCAGCUGUUCUGCAUCUCUUUGUGACGACUGAGACAAAGAGUUAGCUAGGUCUGCUGUACCAGUCAAUCAAACUGGCUUGGAAUUUGCAUUUAUAAA
rnacentral:lncRNA from 1 species